rnacentral:lncRNA from 1 species
GACCCAGCUAACCCAGAACCUUGGCUAGUGGGAAGAUGGGUCUCAAGCCAACCUUCAUGAAGGCAGACACUGUCAGGAUGCUAUCACAGUGCCCCAUGUUGCAGAAGAUGUGACAUGAAAAUGACAAGACACUGGAGAGAGAGACGGGACAGUCAGAGCUCCAUGACAGAAGACUGUGGGGCCUGCAGGACUGAGCCAGGCCCUCUCGGGCAGCAGCCUAUAGCAGAAUGAGACCUCCAGGGUCCAGUCCUCCACAUCCCUCAGCACAGAAUGCAGUCAGUCUCCUGUGCAGUGUCUCUCUGACUCUGGAGCUAAGUGUCACCCAAAUGCCAGGGUCAGAGUUAGUAAAGGAGAGGAUACAUUCCCAGCUGGCCAUGCCAAGAGACCCUCACCUCACCCAGCCUCUGCUACCCCACAAGGCAGGAAUCCUACGUGGUGUCACUUCCCAGCUCAUGUAGAAUAACCCCAGGCACCAUGCAUGAGGUGAGCAUGGGCUAUGAAUGUCAGGAGACCCAGAGUCUCAGUGGCCCUGUCACUGUCACCAUCCACUUGGUUUCUGUCCUGGCUUGCUUUGUCUUUAAUUUAUGUGCUGCUUCUCUCAUGGUUUAGGUAGUUUUCUAUCAAGAAUAAACACAAACCAGGUAGUGGUGGCACCAAUAAUUCUAGCACUCGAGAGACAGAGACAGGUGGAUGUCUGUGAGUUCGAGGCCAGUCUGGUCUACAGAGUGAGUUGCAGGACAGUCAAGGCUACAGAGAGAAACCCUGUCUCAAUAAAUAAAUGAAUUAAUAAACAAUCAAAUAA